rnacentral:rRNA from 1 species
AUACGGAGGGGGCUAGCGUUGUUCGGAAUUACUGGGCGUAAAGCGCGCGUAGGCGGGUUGGCAAGUUGAAGGUGAAAUCCCAGGGCUCAACCCUGGAACUGCCUCCAAAACUGCCAGUCUUGAGUUCGGAAGAGGUGAGUGGAAUUCCUAGUGUAGCGGUGAAAUGCGUAGAGAUGCGGAGGAACACCUGAGGCGAAGGCGAAUUCCUGGGAUAGUACUGACGCUGAGGUGCGAAAGUGUGGGGAGCAAACAGGAUUAGAUACCCUAGUAGUCC